CAGGAGAGAGGACAAAUGUGUACAAAUACUCCUUCUUCCCUAGUGCUAUUAGAGCAUGGAAUGAGUUGCCUGAGCCAGCCAGGAAAACCAAUGACUUCACAGAAUUUAAGUCAUUGGUUAACAUGCUUGACUCGUAUUAUGUUUUCAUCUUCUUUUUUGAAGUAAUGUCUGUAUUUUAUAAGAUAAGAUAAGAGGCAGGUCCAUUCUUUUACACUAGUCAGUUAAUUAUUGUUUU